GAUGAACGCUAGCUACAGGCUUAACACAUGCAAGUCGAGGGGCAGCAUGAAAGGAACUUCGGUUCUUUUUGAUGGCGACCGGCGCACGGGUGCGUAACGCGUAUCGAACCUGCCUCAUACUCGGGGAUAGCCUUGCGAAAGUAAGAUUAAUACCCGGCGGUCUCGGAUGGCCGCAUGACUAUCCGAGUGAAGAUUUAUCGGUAUGAGAUGGCGAUGCGUCCCAUUAGCUUGUUGGUGAGGUAAUGGCUCACCAAGGCAUCGAUGGGUAGGGGUUCUGAGAGGAAGGUCCCCCACAUUGGUACUGAGACACGGACCAA
rnacentral:rRNA from 1 species